rnacentral:rRNA from 1 species
AAACCAACCGGGAUUGCCUUAGUAACGGCGAGUGAAGCGGCAAAAGCUCAAAUUUGAAAUCUGGUACCUUCGGUGCCCGAGUUGUAAUUUGGAGAGGGCAACUUUGGGGCCGUUCCUUGUCUAUGUUCCUUGGAACAGGACGUCAUAGAGGGUGAGAAUCCCGUGUGGCGAGGAGUGCGGUUCUUUGUAAAGUGCCUUCGAAGAGUCGAGUUGUUUGGGAAUGCAGCUCUAAGUGGGUGGUAAAUUCCAUCUAAAGCUAAAUAUUGGCGAGAGACCGAUAGCGAACAAGUACAGUGAUGGAAAGAUGAAAAGAACUUUGAAAAGAGAGUGAAAAAGUACGUGAAAUUGUUGAAAGGGAAGGGCAUUUGAUCAGACAUGGUGUUUUGUGCCCUCUGCUCCUUGUGGGUAGGGGAAUCUCGCAUUUCACUGGGCCAGCAUCAGUUUUGGUGGCAGGAUAAAUCCAUAGGAAUGUAGCUUGCCUCGGUAAGUAUUAUAGCCUGUGGGAAUACUGCCAGCUGGGACUGAGGACUGCGACGUAAGUCAAGGAUGCUGGCAUAAUGGUUAUAUGCCGU